AAAGGGAGACCUAAUUCAGGUAGGAGACGAAAAAAAAGUAGUCCCAACCAAGAAUCAAUCCCAAAAGGUCGGAGCGAGGUAUGAGGCUUUCAAACUAGGUUCUGGGUUCAUAAAAGACCUGAAUCAGGAACAAGGGCUAUUAGCUCAGGUGGUUAGAGCGCACCCCUGAUAAGGGUGAGGUCCCUGGUUCGAGUCCAGGAUGGCCCACCUGCACAGGUGGUAAAAACAAGAGAAGCGAGGAAUCAGCACCUUAUCUUACUUACAUAGUAAGAGAGAAUGCUGGCUCUGAGUAAAGAGUCCAGAGGAACCUUGAAAACUGCAUAGAGCUAGGUGAAAAAGCCAAAAAAGAAGACCGCAAG
rnacentral:tRNA from 1 species